rnacentral:rRNA from 1 species
GAUUAACGCUGGCGGCGUGCAUAACACAUGCAAGUCGAACGAUGAAACUUUAAUGAACCCUUCGGGGAGAAUUAAAGCGGAUUAGUGGCGAACGGGUGAGUAACGCGUGAGUAACCUGCCUUACACAAGGGGAUAGCCUUUGGAAACGAAGAAUAAUACCCUAUAAAACCAUAAAAGCACAUGCAAUUAUGGUCAAAGUGAUAGCGGUGUAAGAUGGACUUGCGUCUGAUUAGCUAGUUGGUGAGAUAAAAGCCCACCAAGGCAACGAUCAGUAGCCGGCUUGAGAGAGUGUACGGCAACAUUGGGACUGAGACACGGCCCAGACUCCUACGGGAGGCAGCAGUGGGGAAUGUUGCACAAUGGGGGAAACCCUGAUGCAGCGACGCCGCGUGAUUUAGAAGGCCUUCGGGUUGUAAAAAUCUUUUGUAUAGGAAGAAAAUGACAGUACUAUACGAAUAAGGUCCGGCUAAUUACGUG